rnacentral:rRNA from 1 species
CGAACGGGUGAGUAACGCGUGAGGAACCUGCCUCAAAGAGGGGGACAACAGUUGGAAACGACUGCUAAUACCGCAUAAGCCCACGGCUCGGCAUCGAGCAGAGGGAAAAGGAGCAAUCCGCUUUGAGAUGGCCUCGCGUCCGAUUAGCUAGUUGGUGAGGUAACGGCCCACCAAGGCGACGAUCGGUAGCCGGACUGGGAGGUUGAACGGCUACAUUGGGACUGAGACACGGCCCAG